CUCGUAGGCGGUUUGAUAAGUCGGGUGUGAAAUCUCCAGGCUCAACCUGGAGAGGUCACUCGAGACUGUUAUGACUAGAGUCCGGUAGGGGACCACGGAAUUCCUGGUGUAGCGGUGAAAUGCGCAGAUAUCAGGAGGAACACCAGUGGCGAAGGCGGUGGUCUGGGCCGGAACUGACGCUGAGGAGCGAAAGCGUGGGUAGCAAACA
rnacentral:rRNA from 1 species